rnacentral:pre_miRNA from 1 species
CAUAUACUCCCUCCGUUUCGAAUUACUUGUCUUGGAUUUGUCUAGAUACGGAUAUAUCUAGACUCAUUUUAGUGCUAGAUACCUCCGUAUCUAGACAAAUCCAAGACAAGUAAUUCAGAACGGAGGGAGUAGUUC